rnacentral:rRNA from 1 species
GACGAACGCUGGCGGCGUGCUUAACACAUGCAAGUCGAACGGAAAGGCCCUGCUUUUGUGGGGUUCUCGAUUGGCGAACGGGUGAGUAACACGUGAGUAUCCUGCCCUUGACUUUCGUAUAACUUCAGGAAACUGGGGCUACUCCCAGAUAGCAGCUCCUGCUCCGUGGUGGGGGUUGGAAAUUUUCGGCGGUUGGGGAUGGAUUCGCGGCUUAUCAGCUUGCUGGUGGGGUAGUUGCUUACCCAGGGUUUGACGGGUACCCGGCCUGAGAGGGUGAACGGCCACAUUGGGACUGAGAUACGGACCAGACGCCUAUGGGAGGCAGCAGGGGGGAAUAUGGCACAGUGGGAGGAAGCCUGAUGCAGCAACGACGGGGGCGGGAUGACGGCCUUCGGGUAGUAAAACGCAUUCGCCUGUGACGAAGCGUGAGUGACGGUAAUGGGUAAAGAAGCACCGGCUAACUACGUG